CCUACGGGUGGCAGCAGUGGGGAAUAUUGGGCAAUGGGCGCAAGCCUGACCCAGCAACGCCGCGUGUAGGAAGAAGGCUUUCGGGUUGUAAAGUUCUUUUCUGAGGGACGAAGAAAGUGACGUUACCUCACGAAUAAGCCACGGCUAACUACGUGCCAGCAGCCGCGGUACUACGUAGGUGGCAAGCGUUAUCCGUAUUUAUUGGGUGUAAAGGGCGUGUAGGCGGGAAAUAAAGUCAGAUGUGAAAACUCAGGGCUCAACCCGGAGCCUGCAUUUGAAACUGUUUUGCUUGAGUGCUGGAGAGGCAAUCGGAAUUCCGUGUGUAGCGGUGAAAUGCGUAGAUAUACGGAGGAAUACCAGUGGCGAAGGCGGAUUGCUGGACAGUAACUGACGCUGAGGCGCGAAAGCGUGGGGAGCAAACAGGAUUAGAUACCCCAGUAGUC
rnacentral:rRNA from 1 species